rnacentral:rRNA from 1 species
GACGAACGCUGGCGGCGUGCUUAACACAUGCAAGUCGAACGGAAAGGCCUCUUUCGGGGGGUACUCGAGUGGCGAACGGGUGAGUAACACGUGAGUAACCUGCCCUUGACUUUGGGAUAACUUCAGGAAACUGGGGCUAAUACCGGAUAGGAGCUCCUGCUGCAUGGUGGGGGUUGGAAAGUUUCGGCGGUUGGGGAUGGACUCGCGGCUUAUCAGCUUGUUGUUGGGGUAGUGGCUUACCAAGGCUUUGACGGGUAGCCGGCCUGAGAGGGUGACCGGCCACAUUGGGACUGAGAGACGGCCCAGACUCCUACGGGAGGCAGCAGUGGGGAAUAUUGCACAAUGGGUGGAAGCCUGAUGCAGCAACGCCGUGUGCGGGAUGACGGCCUUCGGGUUGUAAACCGCUUUCGCUCAUGACGAAGCUUUGUGUGACGGUAGUGGGUAAAGAAGCACCGGCUAACUACGUG